ensembl:lncRNA
CGCCAUUUUCGGCGCCGAGGGGAGAGCGGCGGCUGGCGGAAGAAGAGCAGAGCAGCAGCAGCCGCCGCCGCGCCCCCUCCCCCACCCCGCCGGGCCGCGAGCAGGUACUGCCCCCUCCCGGGGCGUGGGCGUGGCCAGGCUGCUUCCCGGAAGGUGGCGUGAGCCGGAGCCGCUCGCUGGGGGCCAUGAGCGGAGCGCUUCCAAACAAAGGACACAAAAAGAGAGAGGAAGAAAAAGGAGAAGAUUCCAUUGACACCGAAUGCAGCGAACUAGGAAACAUGGAUCUGAAAUUCAACUCCUCAAGGAAAUAUAUUUCGAUCAGUGUACCUUCCAAAUCGCAAGCCAUGUCACCUCAUAUCAAAUCAGUAGAUGACAUAAUCGUUCUCGGCAUGAAUCUCAGCAAAUUUAACAAACCCACUCAGUUUUUUAUUUGUGUUUCUGGAGUUUUUAUGUUUUAUCUAAUCUAUGGAUAUUUACAGGAACUGAUAUUUUCAGUGGAGGGUUUUAAGCCCUUUGGUUGGUACCUUACUUUAGUGCAAUUUGGGUUUUAUUCCAUUUUUGGACUAAUAGAACUGCAGCUUAUUCAGGAUAAAAGGAGACGAAUCCCAGGCAAAACCUACAUGAUAAUAGCCUUUCUAACUGUAGGGACUAUGGGUUUAUCAAAUACCUCCCUAGGAUAUCUGAAUUAUCCUACUCAAGUCAUCUUUAAGUGCUGUAAACUGAUUCCUGUUAUGAUAGGAGGAGUCUUUAUACAAGGAAAACGUUAUAAUAUUGCAGAUGUGUCUGCUGCAAUGUGUAUGAGUCUUGGUCUAAUAUGGUUUACUUUAGCUGACAGCACAAUCGCACCAAAUUUCAACUUGACAGGUGUGGUCCUUAUAUCCCUUGCUCUCUGUGCAGAUGCAGUUAUAGGAAAUGUGCAGGAAAAAGCUAUGAAGUUGCACAAUGGUUCCAAUUCAGAAAUGGUUCUGUAUUCCUAUUCAAUAGGUUUUGUGUACAUUUUAUUGGGAUUGACAUGUACUAGCGGAUUAAGCCCUGCAGUAACAUUUUGUUCAAAGCAUCCAGUUCAGACAUAUGGUUAUGCAUUCUUUUUCUCCCUGACUGGAUAUUUUGGAAUAUCCUUUGUUCUAGCGUUGAUUAAAAUCUUCGGUGCCCUUCUAGCUGUAACAGUAACAACAGGAAGAAAGGCAAUGACCAUUGUGCUUUCUUUUUUGUUCUUUGCAAAGCCAUUCACAUUCCAGUAUGUGUGGUCAGGUUUAUUAGUUGUCCUGGGUAUAUUUCUGAAUGUUUACAGUAAGAAUAUGGAUAAAAUCAAGCUGCCUUCACUACGAGGUCUUUGGAACAAAACUGUGGAAGAAAGACAGACAAGGACGUUGUCACAAACUGUGUAGACAAUGGUUUUAUGCCGUGUCUUGAAUCUGACUUAUUUUAUUGGAACAGUCUUCAACUGGUUCACUUUCCAAAGGGAACAUUAUUAAAACCAAAGGAGAUGAAGGCACAUAGUCUGCUUGCAGAUGAUUUGACAUGAACAGUUUUAUGUGAGCCUUCUCUUCAGAGCACUUGAAUUCAUCAUAGGUGUUAUAUAUCAUUGUCAGAAGGCAUUAUCAAGCCAAUGAAGGAAAGCAACUCCUGGCAGACUGCUGAAAAACUAUGCUUCAAAUGGAGGACAGUAGAACAUUAAUUUGGGCAUUUUUAUCAUAUCAGAUGUGGCUGAUUUGAGAUUAGUGGUUCUUUGUUUUUAUUGCGGGGGUGGGAUUAUUUAAAAGUAAAAGUAAUACCGUAUUAACACUUAAUGGAAGCUAAUCAGCAACUGAUUGACCAAAUUAAAAUGUUAAAGUUGGAAG